UACGUAGGGGGCAAGCGUUGUCCGGAAUUAUUGGGCGUAAAGAGCGCGUAGGCGGUCCGGUAAGUCGGUUGUGAAAGUCGGGGGCUCAACCCUCGGAUGCCGAUCGAUACUGUCGGGCUAGAGUCCGGAAGAGGCGAGUGGAAUUCCUGGUGUAGCGGUGAAAUGCGCAGAUAUCAGGAGGAACACCAGUGGCGCAAGCGGCGAACUGGCCGAGACCUGACGCUGAGACGCGACGGCGUGGGGAGCAAACCGG
rnacentral:rRNA from 1 species